rnacentral:rRNA from 1 species
GAUGAACGCUGGCGGCGUGCCUAAUACAUGCAAGUCGAGCGAACUGACGAGGAGCUUGCUCCUCUGACGUUAGCGGCGGACGGGUGAGUAACACGUGGAUAACCUACCUAUAAGACUGGGAUAACUUCGGGAAACCGGAGCUAAUACCGGAUAAUAUAUUGAACCGCAUGGUUCAAUAGUGAAAGACGGUUUUGCUGUCACUUAUAGAUGGAUCCGCGCCGCAUUAGCUAGUUGGUAAGGUAACGGCUUACCAAGGCGACGAUGCGUAGCCGACCUGAGAGGGUGAUCGGCCACACUGGAACUGAGACACGGUCCAGACUCCUACGGGAGGCAGCAGUAGGGAAUCUUCCGCAAUGGGCGAAAGCCUGACGGAGCAACGCCGCGUGAGUGAUGAAGGUCUUCGGAUCGUAAAACUCUGUUAUUAGGGAAGAACAAAUGUGUAAGUAACUAUGCACGUCUUGACGGUACCUAAUCAGAAAGCCACGGCUAACUACGUG